UCGCCUCCCUCGCCGACGCGCCGCCCCUCCGGCAAGAAGGCACCCUCUUCCUCGCUCUCGCUCGGAUGACCGCUGCCCUCGCGCCUCGGGCUUGGAACGAUCACUACACUCGCGCUCCUCACUCUCCGAUCGGUCGACGCGCUGUGCCGCCACAACCAGUCCACUACUGGCGCCGCGCUCUGAGCUAGCUCCCUCGCCGUUCCCGUCGCCUUCCAGUCCCCGCCACCGUGUUCUGACUCGGAACCACCGCGGCGGAGGAUGCGUUUCGGCCGAGCGAUCCUAGCUCCUUCGCAUAGUGGAGGUUAUUCCUCAUAUUCGUUAUUACAGUAACAGAAGAGUAGAACAUCAGAGUACAGGGGGUUACAUAUACAUGAAAUACAGGAAUCUAAUGGGGAGACGGUACACAGGAGUUACAAGGUUAAAAGUCUAAAGGGGGGUCAACCUUCUCCAGUCCAUUGCUGCCCUUUGACACCAGCAUAUCUCCAAGUUCUCAACUCAUCCAGAAUGCCAUCACAGAUUUGCAGCAAGCUCUGCACCUUGCCAUUGAAAAUCCUGUUGUUUCUCUCUUUCCAAAUAUGCCAGCAGAUGAUCAUGAUUAAAGCCGAGAGCUCACUGCGUCUGCUUGUACUGGUCUGAUGAAGAGAGGAAAGCCACCAUUCCAGAAAACUUUGAGUGGAGUUGGUCAGCAUGAUUUGAAAUUUGAGUUGGGCAGCAAAAGGGCAAGAUGUGAACAGGUGAGAGGCAGACUCCCAUCCUAAUCUGCAAAGAGGGCACAGAGGGUUAUGAGGCCAACCCCUUUUGGCGAGAUUAUCUGUUGUCAGGAACUUCCCUUGUACAGCCAACCAGGCAAAGAAUUGCACUUUAGGGGGGAUUUUAAUUUGCCAUAUGAGUGAGCUCCUUGAAAGGGAACUCAAUCCUUCCCCAGACCUGACACAGAUAAGCAGAUUUAGCACAGUACUUCCCAUCAGGAGUCCAUUUCCAAUUUAGCACAUCCUCCCUUUCAGACAGCAAAACUACUUGAGUGUGGUGCCAAAGGGCAAAGGUUGAUAAAUUCAGAAAGAAAAUCAACGUCCGGGUUGUGCUUUAUCAAAGAUAUCCAUUUACUGUUGGUGAGGCCCUCAUUAACAGUGAUCUUCCUCUUCUUGGUGUGUUUAUAAAGAUUUGGGAAGGCAAGCGCUGGAACCUCCCCAUUCAACCAGUGGUCGUGCCAAAAUGAAACCAAUUUGCCAUCCCCCAAGAUGAAACAAGUACUAGCAAUAGACAAAGCCUUGACUUCCUUAUCAAAAGGGAUCGGAAGAUCAUGCCAUGGCUUGUCAGUUUCUCUAUGAUUGAGUCACAACCACCUCACUUUUAGAGCAAUACCUUGCUUGUGAAGAUCAGGAUACCGAGCCGAACAAACUGCACCUGCGAGCAGACCUGCGACCAUCACACCAAGAACUUAUUGCCAGCGAUAGCAUCCACGCCGCAGUUUGUCAAUCUGCUUGAUAACCCACUUUGGCUGCUCCACGGCAAGAAGCAAAAAGAUGGGCAUGGCUGAUAAUACGAAGCGAACAAGAACCAACCGCCCAGGGGAGGAGAUCCAACGUGCCUUCCAUGCAGCAAUUUUCUUGAUAAGCUUAUCCAGAAGCUCUUGGAAAUCAGUCAAUUUCAGACGCUUAUCCGAGAGGGGCAUCCCCAAAUAAGUACAAGGGAAGCUAGCAAUCUGGCAACCAAUAGCAGCUUGCAGAGGAGUGAGAUCAAUACCAUCACAUCUGGUUGGAAGAAUUUUACUUUUAGCCAUAUCGGUGCAUAGGCCUGUCACUUAAACAAAGAGAUCCAUGAUCUGCGAAACAGCAUUGAAGUCCUGUAUAAAGGUUUGAUGAAGAUGAUAACAUCGCCUGCGUAAAUGGAGGCCCUAUGCUUGAUGGCCAUCUUGCCGAGGGGGGAGAGGACGUUCUUCUUCUGAGCAAGGUCCAUCAGGCGACCAAGACAAAAAGCGACGGCAAGAACGGGUCACCCUGCUUCAGACCUUUCCUAUGCAGAAUUUGAUCAGUGACCUGAGAAUUAACAAGCACCUUGGUGGAGGCCGACAGAAACAUAGCAGAGAUACUCCCAAAACCUCUGAACUGUAGUAGCUUGAGUAAGAAUUCCCAUGCAACGGAAUCAAAGGCUUUGGAGAGGUCUAGCUUAAUCAUAACAGCCGGAACCUCUUUCUGUCUAAAUGAUUUCGCCAUUUCUUGUACAUAAACGAAGUUAUCAUGAAUGCUUCGCCCUUUAGAAAAUGCAUUUUGGCACUGAGAAGUCAGACGAUGCAUGAAAGGCUGCAGUCUAGAAGCUAAGAUUUUGGCAAUUAUCUUGGCAAAGCAAUGGAGGAGCCUAAUCGGACGAAACUCAUUUGGUUUAUUGGCCCCCUGGUGCUUAGGGAGGAGAGCUAUGAUGGCACUAUUCAGCAGGAAAAUAUUUUGGGUGAUGAGGUUCUGGAAGUGUAAGACAGCACCGACAAGACCAUUCUUUAUGAGAUCCCAGCACUUGCGAAAGAAAAGCCCUGUGUAGCCAUCCGGGCGAGGAGCUUUUUCAGGAUGCAAGUCAAAGAUUUCUAGGCACGAGAGGUUGGUCUCAGGAAAGCAAAGAGCAGCAAGGUUGAGAUAGGCCUCUCUAUGUUGAUAAGAUCCCAACAAGCCAUUGAAACCAGUGGACAAGGACGACGGCAAGAAAGAUGAUCAACAUCCCUACGACUACGAGGCCAUGGUCGGUGAAGCAGAUGGGGCAGAAGAAGGAAGCUGCAGACAAGGAAGAUCAGAAAUAAUAAGAUGUUCUGGUUGAGGACCGGAGUGGAUGGCGUAUUGGCCUACAAGCUGCAAGCAGACGGUGCAGAGGAGAUGACGAUGUGCCACACGAUGACAGCGAUGAAGGAUAAAAUUUAAUCCAGUUCUUGAGGAGCAAUGCUGAAACAUUUCUUAUUUUCAGAAUAGAAGCCUGAAUCAAGAGUUUUCAUCAAGCUAAUUAGAAUGUCAUUAUCUUUUAGUCAUUCUACUGAAGAGUUUGGUGAAGAAGACAUAUAUGCUCAUUUUGCAAUAUAUCGGAUCUGGAAGCUCGACUAGUUCUAGUUUUUUUUUAAAGCCAUCUCAGAGCUAAUUGUGAUUCCUAAUGGAGGUCUGCAGGUCUUUUUUUGUGUGCCAAAUUAUUGCAUCAUGGAACUAACUGAAAAAACUGUAUUUUUUUGCAGUGACAUUUUCAGAUUGCACUAGUGUCACUACCUCACUACUAAGUUGCGGAAAGUACACAAAGCAUGAGACUACUGAACAUACAUUGAGCAAUCGGUAUUUUCCGCGAUUUCAGUAAUGGGUAUAUUAUUGCAUAAGCUACUGCUAAGUGAAUCAGGAUUUCCAGAGUUAGCAAAGUAAUUUUUAUUUGGUGGAUCAGCUGCAGCUGUUAUACGAUAAGAUAAAUGACCAGUUCAAGGUAGACAGAAAAUAAAAGAUGAUGAUGUUUGAUAUGAUUCGCUCUAUGUUGACUUGCAAAAUCAUUUAGAAAAUUAUUAUGACAUGGUUAAAAUGCAUCUUAGUUGAGAGAAAGUUUUACUUAUACAGUUAAUUUCUGUCAACUGUUGCAAUUUUUUUAUUCCAUUGUCAUCUUACAGAAUAAGAGAAAAGUUCAACCAAGGACAAAAGUGCCAUUUCCCUUCUUGCAGAGGUUAUCUUCUGCAACUUAUAUAAUUUCUAGGCCUGUAACUCUGCCUUUGUACUGCUAUUUCAAAUUUAGUUAUCGUCAAAUUUGUAUGGCAUUCAUUCACCACAUGGUGUAUUCCUCUCAUGCUGUGGAACCUACAGUGAAGCUAGUAGCUAGAACAUACAGUACAUGUCUGCCCCUUGUAUGGAAUAUGUUGACAUAAAAGCAUGGUUUUUACGGUACAUUACCGGUGCAAGCAAGCAUAGUUCUGAAAACUUGGAACCAUAUUCUCUUCUGCUUAAUUAAUAGAUGAGGCAAAGCUUUUGCCUCAGUUUCGAAAAAAAAAAACUUGGAACCAUGUGUUAUGGAAGCAGCAUCGAAGAAAAGGAAAAUAUUUUUGGAGGCGUCUGAAAUUGAACAUUCAGAAGAUAAGAGUAACAGAUGGGAAGGGUGAUGCUUCAGAAUCAACUGAAGUGCAAGUGGCUGGGUCAGUACUGGUUCAGAUAACCAAUAUGGACACUUAUGUGUCUCUGUUAAUAGUAUAUUUCUCUUAUGCGUCUCUUUCCCAGCUUAUAAUUCUUUCGUUUGUGUGAAUGAGUCAGGGAAGUGGACUUCCGAGACGAGGUAGUAACGCAUUUUUUGUUGAAAGUCAGCCUCAUUGAAGAUUUGACCAAGCGAUAUCGACUGCCUAUGCUCUCUGUAUGUUAUUGGAAGCAUCAGUUGUUCUACGAGAUGAUGAUAUUCUCAAGAGUGCCUGGAGAUGGAGUGAGUACUACUCAUGGAUGCUUGGUCAAACUAUGUACCAGUACAGUACACUUGUACAGAUGGAAGAAAUACUCCAGUCCCCAAGGGCAAAAGGAUUCGCUCCCAUGGAGCAAGAGCAUAGGAUUCGCUCACGGAGUGGCUUGUCUGCCACGUCCAUGUUUGAUGCUUGCGGGCAGUGGAGAGGGACAGUGGUGGUGGGGGCUUGCCUGCCAACGGCCACCGGAGAGGGAUGGGCGGCGAUGCCAAUAAUGUGAGCCAUCCAUCCAUCCAUGUGACGCUGCUUUGGCCUGACGUGUCGAGCUAUAUUGAUUUAUUGAGCGGCUUUAGGUAGGAGGUGUCGACAUGUUUGCUACGGACAGGCUUGAGGAGCUGCUGUGCCCACCCAUCGAUUUUAAGAGCCUGGGUAGGUCCCGAGUGUCGACACCCUGCAUUAUUUAUUGUUUUCUUCCCGUCGUCGAGUCAGUAUCGUGGGCUUGCACGCCGGGGUCCAUCCAUCCUUCCUUCACAUUCACGACCGCCCUUUGCCGUGUCCAGGAGCCAUCCACAGAUUAGGAGUGCUACUCCACGCUAAAGAUUACGAGUAUAAGCCUGAACCUGAAGAUGCUAAAUUGUGUACGUAGAAACAUUCAUGCUUGUCAUCUUAGGCAGUAGUGUAAUUACCCUCAGGAAUACUUCCUCUUC